rnacentral:rRNA from 1 species
CAUCUAGGCGGUCAAUCAAGUCGAAGGUGAAAACUUGUGGCUCAACCAUAAGCUUGCCUACGAAACUGAUUAACUAGAGUACUGGAGAGGUGGACGGAACUACACGAGUAGAGGUGAAAUUCGUAGAUAUGUGUAGGAAUGCCGAUGAUGAAGAUAGCUCACUGGACAGAAACUGACCGCUGAAGUGACGAAAGCUAAGGGAAGCAAACA